UACGUAGGGGGCAAGCUUGUCGGCGAUUUAUUUGGGCGUAAAGAGCGUGUAGGCGGUUUGGUAGGUCCGUUGUGAAAACUCAAGGCUCAACCUCGAGACGCCGAUGGAAACCAUCAGACUAGAGUCCGGAAGAGGAGAGUGGAAUUCCUGGUGUAGCGGUGAAAUGCGCAGAUAUCAGGAAGAACACCCGUGGCUAAGGCGGCUCUCUAGUACGGUACUGACGCUGAGACGCGAAAGCGUGGGGGAGCGAACAGG
rnacentral:rRNA from 1 species